UGGCGGACGGGUGAGUAACACGUGAGCAACCUGCCUUUCAGAGGGGGAUAACGUUUGGAAACGAACGCUAAUACCGCAUGAAAUAUCGGAGUCGCAUGGCACUGAUAUCAAAGGAGUAAUCCGCUGAAAGAUGGGCUCGCGUCCGAUUAGGCAGUUGGCGGGGUAACGGCCCACCAAACCGACAAUCGGUAGCCGGACUGAGAGGUUGAACGGCCACAUUGGGACUGAGACACGGCCCAGACUCCUACGGAAGGCAGCAG
rnacentral:rRNA from 1 species